rnacentral:rRNA from 1 species
CCUACGGGUGGCAGCAGUAGGGAAUCUUUCACAAUGGGCGAAAGCCUGAUGGAGCAACGCCGCGUGCAGGAUGAAGGCCUUCGGGUUGUAAACUGCUUUUAUAAGCGAGAAAUAUGAUGGUAACUGAUGAAUAAGGAUCGGCUAACUACGGGCCAGCAGCCGCGGUCAGACGUAGGAUCCGAGCAUUAUCCGGAGUGACUGGGUGUAAAGAGUUGCGUAGGUGGCAUAAUAAGUAGCUAUUGAAAUCUGGUGGCUCAACCAUUCAGACUAUUAGCUAAACUGGUAAGCUCGAGACCGUUAAGGGUAACUGGAAUUUCUAGUGUAGGAGUGAAAUCCGUAGAUAUUAGAAGGAACACCAAUAGCGUAGGCAGGUUACUGGGACGGUUCUGACACUAAGGCACGAAAGCGUAGGGAGCAAACGGGAUUAGAUACCCCUGUAGUC